UACGGAGGGUGCGAGCGUUGUCCGGAAUUACUGGGCGUAAAGCGCACGUAGGCGGUCUUUUAAGUCGGGGGUGAAAUCCUGGAGCUCAACUCCAGAACUGCCUUUGAUACUGAAGAUCUUGAGUUCGGGAGAGGUGAGUGGAACUGCGAGUGUAGAGGUGAAAUUCGUAGAUAUUCGCAAGAACACCAGUGGCGAAGGCGGCUCACUGGCCCGAUACUGACGCUGAUGCACGAAAGCGUGGGGAGCAAACAGG
rnacentral:rRNA from 1 species